AUUGAACGCUGGCGGCAUGCCUUACACAUGCAAGUCGAACGGCAGCGCGGACUUCGGUCUGGCGGCGAGUGGCGAACGGGUGAGUAAUAUAUCGGAACGUACCCAAGAGUGGGGGAUAACGUAGCGAAAGUUACGCUAAUACCGCAUGCGAUCUAAGGAUGAAAGCAGGGGACCGCAAGGCCUUGUGCUCCUGGAGCGGCCGAUAUCUGAUUAGCUAGUUGGUGGGGUAAAGGCCCACCAAGGCAUCGAUCAGUAGCUGGUCUGAGAGGACGACCAGCCACACUGGAACUGAGACACGGUCCAGACUCCUACGGGAGGAAGCAGUGGGGAAUUUUGGACAAUGGGGGCAACCCUGAUCCAGCAAUGCCGCGUGAGUGAAGAAGGCCCUCGGGUUGUAAAGCUCUUUUGUCAGGGAAGAAAAGGCUGUGGCUAAUAUCCACGGCUCAUGACGGUACCUGAAGAAUAAGCACCGGCUAACUACGUGCCAGCAGCCGCCGUAACAC
rnacentral:rRNA from 1 species